ACGCACGCUGGCGGCGUGCUUAACACAUGCAAGUCGAACGGAAAGGCCCUGCUUUUGUGGGGUGCUCGAGUGGCGAACGGGUGAGUAACACGUGAGUAACCUGCCCUUGACUUUGGGAUAACUUCAGGAAACUGGGGCUAAUACCGGAUAGGAGCUCCUGCUGCAUGGUGGGGGUUGGAAAGUUUCGGCGGUUGGGGAUGGACUCGCGGCUUAUCAGCUUGUUGGUGGGGUAGUGGCUUACCAAGGCUUUGACGGGUAGCCGGCCUGAGAGGGUGACCGGCCACAUUGGGACUGAGAUACGGCCCAGACUCCUACGGGAGGCAGCAGUGGGGAAUAUUGCACAAUGGGCGGAAGCCUGAUGCAGCAACGCCGCGUGCGGGAUGACGGCCUUUGGGUUGUAAACCGCUUUCGCCUGUGACGAAGCGUGAGUGACGGUAAUGGGUAAAGAAGCACCGGCUAACUACGUG
rnacentral:rRNA from 1 species